AGGUGUUGAUGGUUGUGUUGUAACAUGGUCCUAUAUGGGGUCUCUAGGUGUUGAUGGUUGUGUUGUAACAUGGUCCUAUAUGGGGUCUCUAGGAGGUGUUGAUGGUUGUGUUGUAACAUGGUCCUAUAUGGGGUCUCUAGGUGGUGUUGAUGGUUGUGUUGUAACAUGGUCCUAUAUGGGGUCUCUAGGUGUUGAUGGUUGUGUUGUAACAUGGUCCUAUAUGGGGUCUCUAGGUGGUGUUGAUGGGUGUGUUGUAACAUGGUCAUAUAUGGGGUCUCUAGGUGGUGUUGAUGGUUGUGUUGUAACAUGGUCCUAUAUGGUGUCUAUAGGUGUUGAUGGUUGUGUUGUAACAUGGUCCUAUAUGGGGUCUCUAGGUGGUGUUGAUGGUUGUGUUGUAACAUGGUCCUAUAUGGGGUCUCUAGGAGGUGUUGAUGGUUGUGUUGUAACAUGGUCCUAUAUGGGGUCUCUAGGUGGUU
ensembl:lncRNA